rnacentral:rRNA from 1 species
CCUACGGGAGGCAGCAGUGGGGAAUAUUGCACAAUGGGCGCAAGCCUGAUGCAGCCAUGCCGCGUGUAUGAAGAAGGCCUUCGGGUUGUAAAGUACUUUCAGCAGUGAGGAAGGUGGGUAUGUUAAUAGCAUACUCAUUUGACGUUAGCUGCAGAAGAAGCACCGGCUAACUCCGUGCCAGCAGCCGCGGUAAUACGGAGGGUGCGAGCGUUAAUCGGAAUUACUGGGCGUAAAGCGCAUGCAGGUGGUUUGUUAAGUCAGAUGUGAAAGCCCGGGGCUCAACCUCGGAAUUGCAUUUGAAACUGGCAAACUAGAGUACUGUAGAGGGGGUAGAAUUUCAGGUGUAGCGGUGAAAUGCGUAGAGAUCUGAAGGAAUACCGGUGGCGAAGGCGGCCCCCUGGACAGAUACUGACACUCAGAUGCGAAAGCGUGGGGAGCAAACAGGAUUACAUACCCUGGUAG